rnacentral:rRNA from 1 species
CUUUACACAUGCAAGUCGAACGGCAGCACGGGAGCUUGCUCCUGGUGGCGAGUGGCGAACGGGUGAGUAAUACAUAGGAACAUACCCAGUAAUGGGGGAUAACGCCGAGAAAUCGGUGCUAAUACCGCAUACGCCCUACGGGGGAAAGCGGGGGAUCUUCGGACCUCGCGUUAUUGGAUUGGCCUAUGUCUGAUUAGCUAGUUGGUGAGGUAAAGGCUCACCAAGGCGACGAUCAGUAGCUGGUCUGAGAGGAUGAUCAGCCACACUGGAACUGAGACACGGUCCAGACUCCUACGGGAGGCAGCAGUGGGGAAUUUUGGACAAUGGGCGAAAGCCUGAUCAGCCAUUCCGCGUGAGUGAAGAAGGCCUUCGGGUUGUAAAGCUCUUUCGGCAGGAACGAAAUGGUUGCGGUUAAUGACCGCGACUU